CUCGUAGGCGGCCAACUAAGUCAUACGUGAAAUCCCUCAGCUUAACUGGGGAACUGCGUCUGAUACUGGAUGGCUUGGAUUUGGGAGAGGGAUGCGGAAUUCCAGGUGUAGCGGUGAAAUGCGUAGAUAUCUGGAGGAACACCGGUGGCGAAGGCGGCAUCCUGGACCAAUAUUGACGCUGAGGAGCGAAAGCCAGGGGAGCAAACG
rnacentral:rRNA from 1 species